rnacentral:rRNA from 1 species
AUUGAACGCUGGCGGCAGGCCUAACACAUGCAAGUCGAGCGGUAGAGAGGUGCUUGCAUCUCUUGAGAGCGGCGGACGGGUGAGUAAUGCCUAGGAAUCUGCCUAGUGGUGGGGGAUAACGUUCGGAAACGGACGCUAAUACCGCAUACGUCCUACGGGAGAAAGCGGGGGGAUCUUCGGACCUCGCGCCAUUAGAUGAGCCUAGGUCGGAUUAGCUAGUUGGUGAGGUAAUGGCUCACCAAGGCGGCGAUCCGUAACUGGUCUGAGAGGAUGAUCAGUCACACUGGAACUGAGACACGGUCCAGACUCCUACGGGAGGCAGCAGUGGGGAAUAUGGACAAUGGGCGAAAGCCUGAUCCAGCCAUGCCGCGUGUGUGAAGAAGGUCUUCGGAUUGUAAAGCACUUUAAGUUGGGAGGAAGGGUAGUAACCUAAUACGUUGCUACUUGUACGUUACCGACAGAAUAAGCACCGGCUAACUUCGUGCCAGCACG